CGAUCUGCUGCGGGCAGAUGAAGUGGAUGUGCGAGUCGUAGCCGCCCGCGGUGACGAGGUGGCCCUCCGCGGCGAUGACCUCGGUGCCCGCCCCGAUCUCCAUGCCGGGGGUGAUCCCGGACUGGAUGAGGGGAUUGCCGGCGUGCCCGAUCCCGGCGAUUCGCCCGUCCCGCACGCCGAUGUCCGCCUUGAUCACCCCGAGGACGGGGUCGAGGAUGGUCGCGUUCGUCAGGACGAGGUCGAGAGCGUCCUCAUCCGAGACCGUCGGGCUCUGGCCCAUCCCGUCCCG
rnacentral:sRNA from 1 species